rnacentral:lncRNA from 1 species
AUGGAACACCUGACUACCAUUCAAAUCGCAAUGGGGGGGGGGGGAAUGUGCUUAGCUCCCACUAAAUUCUCCCUAUAUCAAAGCCACCCACAGAAGUCAGCAUCUCUCUGAGCUCAAAAGGUUAAAGGUAAUUCCUCGUUCGCACAGCUCGGGCGCCACCUAGCCGUAAUUAGGGCCCCGCACGCUCGGGCUGCCCAUGGGUUGGGGCUGCGUUGCCCUUGCCGAGCGGUAGGAGGAGAGGGGUUCGCUUGAUUCUGUUGCCGCUGGUCGUAUCCCCUGGCGCCAGCGGGCUCCUCUGGCUGCAGCAGCCGCCGAUAGGGCAGGACCCAGCGGGGAGCAGAGGCAGCAGUUCCCCUCGGCGCCUGGGCGUGUGCAGCCAGCGGCAGGUUCUGCGGCCAGGGCCAUGCGUACCGGACAGACAAAAGCCUGGGCGAGCGAGGCGUGAGGAAAGGCGCCCAGGGAAGGAGAGGGAGGCGCGUACGCACAGAUCCAUCUGGAAGGGGUUUUGCCUGCUGCCGCUGCCGCCGCCGCCGCGCCAGGCUUGCCGAGAUCACCGGGCGCCAGGGGAUGCCAGCUCGCCUCCUCUUCCAAUGUUUCACUGGGGCAAGUGGAAGAAAAGGAUGGGAGCGACCACUUCUUCUUCCAAGAGACCCGUGUUCGAUGAGAAGGAGGAUGGCAGGGAAUUCUGAUACAGCUUAAUACAAUGACUAAUUG